rnacentral:rRNA from 1 species
CCCUUAGAUGUUCUGGGCUGCACGCGCGCUACACUGAAGCGUUCAACGAGUAUUCACCUUGCCCGGGAGGGUUGGGUAAUCUUUUGAAAACGCUUCGUGGUGGGGAUAGAUUAUUGCAAUUAUUAAUCUUCAACGAGGAAUUCCUAGUAAACGCAGAUCAUCAAUCUGCAUUGAUUACGUCCCUGCCCUUUGUACACACCGCCCGUCGCACCUACCGAUUGGAUGGUCCGGUGAAGCCUCGGGAUUGUGGUUCUUGCCGCUUUAUUGUGGCGUGACCGCGAGAACUUGUCUAAACCUUAUCAUCUAGAGGAAGGUGAAGUCGUAACA